UGUUAAACGUUACCACCUCACCUCUUCCUAAUUCUUCCUUUAUGGUUAAGAAAUUACUUGAGAUAAGACCAAGUUUUGCCUCAUCCAAUUUCUAUUUUUAUCAAACUAUAGUUAUCACUUCUUCACGGUUAAGGCAAAGAGGACUAUUUCAUCUUUGCUUCAAUUUUUAUCGUUUGUUGCACAAUUUCCAUGAUUAUCACGUACCAAACUUUAUCUCUUAUUUUUCUUCUAGAAAGCUUAUUAGCAACACUUAAUACUCCUACAUUUAUUCCAACGACUUAAGAAGCUAUCGACACCAUGGCUGUCGCUCAUCAUUCACUAAUCCCUAUCCAUCAUUCAUGAUUAUGUUCUUGCUCCAAAAAUAGUCUCCUAAGACUAAGUUCUUGAGCUACUUUUCAAUAAACCCAAAGUAAGUUACUCUUUUUGCUUGUAAUUUUGGUAUAAGUUUGACUUUUACUUUGGGAAAACUACUCUUAUUUCUUAAAUUAAUGAUUAUGGUAGCAUUUGCUUUUAAAUGGUCAUACUAUCAUAUACUUAGAUAACUUACGUAGUAAUAAUACUCAUUUCUCAAAUGAGUUUUGUUAUUGUUUUCAUACUAAAUAUAAUUUAUGAUUUUGAGUGUUUAUAAUUUUAAUCUUAUUCACUACUAAUAUGAAUAGUAGUAGUAUAUAUGUUUUUAAUCUAUUUUCUACUAGUAAUAUAAAUAGUGGUAGUAUCUAUUUUUAAAGUAAUGCUCAUUUUACUCAAAAUGAGGUAAUACUUGUUUUGUUUCUAAAAAUAUUUUUAUACUUGUUUUAUCAAAGACUUUGAAUUAAGAAGUUAUUAAUGAGUAUUUAUUAUUUUUGGGUAUGAUCGAAUAAAUCAUGAUGAUGAGGAAUUUAUGACGGAGGUUGAGAGUUCGAAUGAUGAUUAUUGGAGAACAAGCUAAGUGAGAUGAUUAAGGAUGAUCGAAUGAGGGAUAAUGAUGACAGAGCUGAAAUUAAUCAAAAGCAAAGGGAUUAAAGGAAUUUAGUUAGUUUAGGGAUUAUGGAAUCAAGGCUUAUGUAUUAUGGAUCAUCGAGAGCUGAGAUAGAUUGAUUAUUUUAUUACAGUUUGGAAGACUGAAGUUGUAUUUUUUUUUAUUGAAUAUUCUCAUUAAGGAGUAUGUUUAUUUGUGGGCCCAUAACCCACAGGUGGCUAUGAGAUUAUCUAUAUAUAAUUGAUUCUGCUUAGUAUGAUGAUUAAA